ensembl:processed_transcript Gm13483 predicted gene 13483
CAAGUUGGGAAAUAUUUACAGGACUCGGGACUGCUCUUGGGUACAGUGUGGCCAUAGUUAAUAAAGAGCUGCAUACUUAGAAUGUGAUCUCAAUGCUUUUCCCAGAAGGCUCACCCUUCCCUUGUAGAAGUCUCUAUGUGCAGCAAUCUGACCCAAGGCUGUUAUUAUCCUCCCGAAGGAGCUCAGGAUGAAGAAGUGAGUGCAGCCAGAGGUGCCAACACGGAAGUACAGGGGAUCUCAGGAAAGAUAACUUGUUUUAAACUAUAUCUUCCUGGACUGGCUGGAAUGAAGCCUUGCUGAGAAGUAGGGCUUCAAAUACUUGCCAGCUUACUUCAUUAAGAUAUUUCAUUGUAGUAGAUACCACAGCUGUGUGAUGAGAGCAAACUUUUGUGAUCCUUUCAAAGAACAUCCACUCAAUUGUGCAUUUCUGGGAGUGAAGAAAAUAUUAACAGUUGCCCGGGAGGAGGGGAGAAUAUUACAUUAUGCAAUCAGGUGACUUCCUUCCAUCUUUUCCCCCACAUGUUUGCUUGUCAAACUUAUUGGUCUUCUCUCAGUGCUCCUCUCAGAUUCUGGGAGCCUUGGUGCCUCUGGCUGCGUAUUCUGCAUCAUCUUUCUGCUCUUCCUAGCAUCUCCUCAGAU